CCUACGGGUGGCAGCAGUAGGGAAUCUUUCACAAUGGGCGAAAGCCUGAUGGAGCAACGCCGCGUGCAGGAUGAAGGCCUUCGGGUUGUAAACUGCUUUUAUAAGCGAGAAAUAUGAUGGUAACUUAUGAAUAAGGAUCGGCUAACUACGUGCCAGCAGCCGCGGUCAUACGUAGGAUCCGAGCAUUAUCCGGAGUGACUGGGUGUAAAGAGUUGCGUAGGUGGCAUAAUAAGUAGCUAGUGUAAUCUGGUGGCUCAACCAUUCAGACUAUUAGCUAAACUGUUAAGCUCGCGACCGUUAGGGGUAACUGGAAGUUCUAGCGUAGGAGUGAAAGCAGUAGAUAUUAGAAGGAACACCAAUAGCGUAGGCAGGUUGCUGGGACGGUUCUGACACUAAGGCACGAAAGCGUAGGGAGCAAACGGGAUUAGAUACCCCUGUAGUC
rnacentral:rRNA from 1 species